UGAAGAGUUUGAUCAUGGCUCAGAUUGAACGCUGGCGGCAGGCCUAACACAUGCAAGUCGAACGGUAACAGGAAGCAGCUUGCUGCUUCGCUGACGAGUGGCGGACGGGUGAGUAAUGUCUGGGAAACUGCCUGAUGGAGGGGGAUAACUACUGGAAACGGUGGCUAAUACCGCAUAACGUCGCAAGACCAAAGAGGGGGACCUUCGGGCCUCUUGCCAUCAGAUGUGCCCAGAUGGGAUUAGCUUGUUGGUGAGGUAACGGCUCACCAAGGCGACGAUCCCUAGCUGGUCUGAGAGGAUGACCAGCCACACUGGAACUGAGACACGGUCCAGACUCCUACGGGAGGCAGCAGUGGGGAAUAUUGCACAAUGGGCGCAAGCCUGAUGCAGCCAUGCCGCGUGUAUGAAGAAGGCCUUCGGGUUGUAAAGUACUUUCAGCGGGGAGGAAGGUGUUGUGGUUAAUAACCGCAGCAAUUGACGUUACCCGCAGAAGAAGCACCGGCUAACUCCGUGCCAGCAGCCGCGGUAAUACGGAGGGUGCAAGCGUUAAUCGGAAUUACUGGGCGUAAAGCGCACGCAGGCGGUCUGUCAAGUCGGAUGUGAAAUCCCCGGGCUCAACCUGGGAACUGCAUUCGAAACUGGCAGGCUUGAGUCUUGUAGAGGGGGGUAGAAUUCCAGGUGUAGCGGUGAAAUGCGUAGAGAUCUGGAGGAAUACCGGUGGCGAAGGCGGCCCCCUGGACAAAGACUGACGCUCAGGUGCGAAAGCGUGGGGAGCAAACAGGAUUAGAUACCCUGGUAGUCCACGCCGUAAACGAUGUCUACUUGGAGGUUGUGCCCUUGAGGCGUGGCUUCCGGAGCUAACGCGUUAAGUAGACCGCCUGGGGAGUACGGCCGCAAGGUUAAAACUCAAAUGAAUUGACGGGGGCCCGCACAAGCGGUGGAGCAUGUGGUUUAAUUCGAUGCAACGCGAAGAACCUUACCUGGUCUUGACAUCCACAGAAGAAUCCAGAGAUGGAUUUGUGCCUUCGGGAACUGUGAGACAGGUGCUGCAUGGCUGUCGUCAGCUCGUGUUGUGAAAUGUUGGGUUAAGUCCCGCAACGAGCGCAACCCUUAUCCUUUGUUGCCAGCGAUUAGGUCGGGAACUCAAAGGAGACUGCCA
rnacentral:rRNA from 1 species